AACAUAAUCAUCUUGGAAGGGCGUUUGCAAUUUUUGAAUUAGGACAUGCGCAAAAACACAUUUUCAUCUUUAUUAGUUUAAGCCACAAGUUCUGAAUUUUUAAAAGCAUUUCCCCAGAUAGCGUCCUUUACAAUAGAGCGCGUGUUGAUCGGAACAUGUUGAAAAUCAUGAAGCAAAAUUUGGAGGAUCUUACCAGCCCAAAUCUAUGGCGCGCUGUAGCCGCCGAAAUGGUCGGGACUAUAUUCCUGGUCUUUUUGGGAUGUGGUGCCCAUACAUUGCAGAAUGGGCAACCAACUGCCGUUGGAAACGGGUCUGUUGUAACAACCGCAGAACCGAGUGUUGUUCAAAUUUCUCUGACAUUUGGACUUGUCGUAGGGACAAUGAUAUGGUGCAUUGCUCACAUAAGUGGUGGACAUAUUAACCCUGCAGUAACAGUGGCAGCUCUUAUUACCC
rnacentral:lncRNA from 1 species